UGGUUCUUUUUCUAAUGAACCAAAAGCCUUAGUUUUCUGAAGUCUAGCCUAGAACACCAGAUUCUGGUCUCUGAGUUCAUAUAGAGCCUAUUAUUGCACUCAUCGUCACUAAGCUCACUCCAUUCUGUCCUUGAACUUCCAGUUGGGCUUAAUCUAACUUUAUAUACCACUGCUUCAGUUCUGAAUACCUACCUGAUUAGUCUGUGCACAAAUUCAAAGGUAGAUUGGCUGUUCUAAAAGCAGUGUGGGAGUGUAAGGAAUAUAUAGAAAGAUCCUGAACAACAAUGAAGGCAGCAUUUAUACCUCAGCAGAGACCCAAAAGACCACCUAGCUUGCUCAUAAAUGUGCAUUCUUUCUAAUAAAACUGUGAUGAUUAUUAUUAA